rnacentral:lncRNA from 1 species
GGUCUCUCUCGCUCUCUCUCUCUCUCCCUCUCACCAGCCCACAGAACGCCACCCCGGUGCUCGGCUUGCUGGGAAACUGUCAAAUAUACCAGCUCCAAUCCCGUCCACUUUGGAACACCCAAGACGUUCUGAGCCUGGAGGGAUUUUUGGAAAGGUAUUGGAAACACACGAGAGAGGUCCUGCUCCUUCUCGCUGCUACUCUGCCUCCCACCCCCUCACCCCUUCCACAGUCAGUGUUGCUGUGACCACUGUGGAACACAGGGACGUUCGCAUUUUUCCUGUUUUCAAAUCCUCUAGCAGAAGGAAAGAGGCAACGGACUUGAGUGACGAGUGUGACCGACUGACUAAUUUACAGCGCUUCAUCCUAAAAUGUGACGAUGUUGAAUGCCACGUUACUGUUGCCCCGCAGCAUGAACCCUUAAGGAUCCCAGACUGACUUGUGAGCGGAGAGCUCACCUAUGCGACCAUGGAGAGAGUGACCAGCGCCAUCCAGACCAAGCAAGGCGAGCUCCGCCCGUUCCCUCGCUCUCUUUUCAUUGCUCACAUUUUAUUCCACAGGCAGAACUGAGUUUCUAAUUCAUAAGUCACUUACUUGUUUGUUUAAAUAACGACUUACUUAUGCUUGUAAAUUAAAUAAAUAAUGAUAGGAGUCCA